rnacentral:rRNA from 1 species
GACAGAGGUGCCGAGCGUUAGGCGGAAUCACUGGGCUUAAAGCGUGUGUAGGCGGAUACCUAAGUACCUUGUGAAAUCCCACGGCUCAACCGUGGAACUGCCUUAGAUACUGACGGCCUCGAGGGAGAUAGGGGCAUGCGGAACUGUAGGUGGAGCGGUGAAAUGCGUUGAUAUCUACAGGAACUCCGGUGGCGAAAGCGGCGUGCUGGAUCUCUUCUGACGCUGAGGCUCGAAAGCUAGGGGAGCAAACGGG